UACAGAGGUCUCAAGCGUUGUUCGGAUUCAUUGGGCGUAAAGGGUGCGUAGGCGGCGCGGUAAGUCGGGUGUGAAAUCUCGGAGCUUAACUCCGAAACUGCAUUCGAUACUGCCGUGCUUGAGGACUGGAGAGGAGACUGGAAUUUACGGUGUAGCGGUGAAAUGCGUAGAUAUCGUAAGGAAGACCGGUGGCGAAGGCGGUUCUCUGGGCCUUACCUGACGCUGAGGAGCGAAAGCGUGGGGAGCGAACAGG
rnacentral:rRNA from 1 species